UGGGAGGGGACCAGGGACUCACCGGAAUUCAACUCUUUCACGAGAGAGGACAUGGUGUUAGUGAUCGAAUCCGCUGCUACUAAACAGAAAGUACAUCAUGCUCUCCCUUCAAAAUGUAAGCUUUUGGGCUUCCCUGGUGGCGCAGUGGUUGGGAGUCCACCUGCCGAUGCAGGGGACACAGGUUCGUGUCCCGGUCCGGGAGGAUCCCACAUGCCACGGAGUGGCUGGGCCCGUGAGCCAUGGCCGCUGAGCCUGCGCGUCUGGAACCUGUGCUCCGCAACGGAGGACACAAGGAUCUACACGUGAGGACCUGGGAGGAUGUCCACCAUAUACCGCUAAUUCAAGGGAGAUGCAAAUUGCAGACCAAAAUGCAAUGCAUGAUCGAAUUUGUGUGGAAAAAGAAGAGUAUAUGUCCAUAAAAGCAAACUUAAACAUAGAUAUUUAUAUAUAAGUGAAACGUUGAGAAGGGCCAAGCUGUUAAUAGUGUUUACUUCUAGGAAUGAGACUGGCAGGCUGAGGGUCGGCAGGAGGAUUUCUUUUUUUGUAAUUUUCUACAAAUUUAAAAAGUGAUGACAAAAAAAAGUUUUA